GAUUAAGUUAUUAAGGGCGCACGGUGGAUGCCUUGGCACUAGAAGCCGACGAAGGACGUUACUAACGACGAUAUGCUUUGGGUAGCUGUAAGUAAGCGUUGAUCCAGAGAUUUCCGAAUGGGGGAACCCAGCACGAGUUAUGUCGUGUUAUCGACAAGUGAAUUCAUAGCUUGUCAGAAGGCAGACCCGGAGAACUGAAACAUCUUAGUACCCGGAGGAAGAGAAAGAAAAAUCGAUUCCCUGAGUAGCGGCGAGCGAAACGGGAAGAGCCCAAACCAAUAAGCUUGCUUAUUGGGGUUGUAGGACACUCUAUACGGAGUUACAAAGGAAUAUAUUAGACGAAUCAUCUGGAAAGUUGAAUCAAAGAAGGUAAUAAUCCUGUAGUUGAAAAUAUAUUCUCUCUUGAGUGGAUCCUGAGUACGACGGAGCACGUGAAAUUCCGUCGGAAUCUGGGAGGACCAUCUCCUAAGGCUAAAUACUCUCUAGUGACCGAUAGUGAACCAGUACCGUGAGGGAAAGGUGAAAAGUACCCCGGAAGGGGAGUGAAAGAGAACUUGAAACCGUGUGCUUACAAGUAGUCAGAGCCCGUUAAUGGGUGAUGGCGUGCCUUUUGUAGAAUGAACCGGCGAGUUACGAUCUGAUGCAAGGUUAAGCAGGAGAUGUGGAGCCGUAGCGAAAGCGAGUCUGAAUAGGGCGUUGAGUAUUUGGUCGUAGACCCGAAACCAGGUGAUCUACCCAUGGUCAGGUUGAAGUUCAGGUAACACUGAAUGGAGGACCGAACCGACUUACGUUGAAAAGUGAGCGGAUGAACUGUGGGUAGCGGAGAAAUUCCAAUCGAACUUGGAGAUAGCUGGUUCUCUCCGAAAUAGCUUUAGGGCUAGCCUCAAGUGAUGAUUAUUGGAGGUAGAGCACUGUUUGGACGAGGGGCCCCUCUCGGGUUACCGAAUUCAGACAAACUCCGAAUGCCAAUUAAUUUAACUUGGGAGUCAGAACAUGGGUGAUAAGGUCCGUGUUCGAAAGGGAAACAGCCCAGACCACCAGCUAAGGUCCCAAAAUAUAUGUUAAGUGGAAAAGGAUGUGGCGUUGCCCAGACAACUAGGAUGUUGGCUUAGAAGCAGCCAUCAUUUAAAGAGUGCGUAAUAGCUCACUAGUCGAGUGACACUGCGCCGAAAAUGUACCGGGGCUAAACAUAUUACCGAAGCUGUGGAUUGUCCGUAGGACAAUGGUAGGAGAGCGUUCUAAGGGCGUUGAAGCAUGAUCGCAAGGACAUGUGGAGCGCUUAGAAGUGAGAAUGCCGGUGUGAGUAGCGAAAGACGGGUGAGAAUCCCGUCCACCGAUUGACUAAGGUUUCCAGAGGAAGGCUCGUCCGCUCUGGGUUAGUCGGGUCCUAAGCUGAGGCCGACAGGCGUAGGCGAUGGAUAACAGGUUGAUAUUCCUGUACCACCUAGCAUCGUUUUAAUCGAUGGGGGGACGCAGUAGGAUAGGCGAAGCGUACGAUUGGAUUGUACGUCUANNNNNNNNNNNNNNNNNNNNNNNNNNNNNNNNNNNNNNNNNNNNNNNNNNNNNNNNNNNNNNNNNNNNNNNNNNNNNNNNNNNNNNNNNNNNNNNGUAGUUAGCUUCUGCGAAGCUACGAAUCGAAGCCCCAGUAAACGGCGGCCGUAACUAUAACGGUCCUAAGGUAGCGAAAUUCCUUGUCGGGUAAGUUCCGACCCGCACGAAAGGCGUAACGAUUUGGGCACUGUCUCAACGAGAGACUCGGUGAAAUCAUAGUACCUGUGAAGAUGCAGGUUACCCGCGACAGGACGGAAAGACCCCGUGGAGCUUUACUGUAGCCUGAUAUUGAAAUUCGGCACAGCUUGUACAGGAUAGGUAGGAGCCUUUGAAACGUGAGCGCUAGCUUACGUGGAGGCGCUGGUGGGAUACUACCCUAGCUGUGUUGGCUUUCUAACCCGCACCACUUAUCGUGGUGGGAGACAGUGUCAGGCGGGCAGUUUGACUGGGGCGGUCGCCUCCUAAAAGGUAACGGAGGCGCUCAAAGGUUCCCUCAGAAUGGUUGGAAAUCAUUCAUAGAGUGUAAAGGCAUAAGGGAGCUUGACUGCGAGACCUACAAGUCGAGCAGGGUCGAAAGACGGACUUAGUGAUCCGGUGGUUCCGCAUGGAAGGGCCAUCGCUCAACGGAUAAAAGCUACCCCGGGGAUAACAGGCUUAUCUCCCCCAAGAGUUCACAUCGACGGGGAGGUUUGGCACCUCGAUGUCGGCUCAUCGCAUCCUGGGGCUGUAGUCGGUCCCAAGGGUUGGGCUGUUCGCCCAUUAAAGCGGUACGCGAGCUGGGUUCAGAACGUCGUGAGACAGUUCGGUCCCUAUCCGUCGUGGGCGUAGGAAAUUUGAGAGGAGCUGUCCUUAGUACGAGAGGACCGGGAUGGACAUACCUCUGGUGUACCAGUUGUCGUGCCAACGGCAUAGCUGGGUAGCUAUGUAUGGACGGGAUAAGUGCUGAAAGCAUCUAAGCAUGAAGCCCCCCUCAAGAUGAGAUUUCCCAACUUCGGUUAUAAGAUCCCUCAAAGAUGAUGAGGUUAAUAGGUUCGAGGUGGAAGCGUGGUGACACGUGGAGCUGACGAAUACUAAUCGAUCGAAGACUUAAUCAA
rnacentral:rRNA from 1 species